CAGAUAAAGAUCAGUCCUGAUAAAUCACCGACCAGCGAUAGUCUGAUAAUCUCUGAUUUAUUUCAGGUCGGAGCUGCUGGGCUGAAAACUGAUGAUGGGAGGAGAUCAGAGUCAUCAGAAGGAGGCUGAGGAGAGAAGAGGAGGAGCUGAAGAACAUCAGAAACCAGACCAAACAAAGGCUCCAGCUGCUGAAGAGACUCCGGUUGAGUUGCCCCAGUGCAGGAUGGGAAGCAGAAAGGUGGACGACAUGUGUUUCAUGAUCUCAUGCACCAACUGGUAUUGAUCCGCUGGACACUGGGACUGCUGGGAGCUGGUGGAUGAUGUGUUCAUGCUUUUCAUGCAUCAAAUUGGCUGCAUUGCUCAUCCUCUGUUGUAGUUUUAACAGAUUAUUUCUCAUCAAAAUCAGAUAAAUGUUUCAGAAAUCUAACAACAGGAAGUAAAUCUGUCAUUUCUCAGUAUCAUUCUGUAUCAAAAAGCCAAGAAGCUGCUGUAGGGAGGCUGAAGGAUGAAGACAGGGACUGAACAUGAGUCCAACCUGUCAGAAAAAUGUUUGCUGUUGCUUUGCAGUGGAGAGCGGCUGCUUGGAAGUAGAUUUAUGGACUUUUCUCCUCCUAAAAACCCUCAUUAUCAAAGUGGAACUAAAAUCUAUCAUAGAUUGAUUUCUCCACCUUCGCACUUCACUACACACCUCUUCUCCUGCAAACUCAGGCGGAAAGAAGAAUGAUACAUUUGCAACAAAGCUCUGAUGACUGAAGGUUUUCAGACUUUUGACAUGAAACAUUCCUGGUUUGGCAAUAUCAUUUUUUUUCCUCUGAAGGCUUCAGUUUCUCUACAGCUUCAACAGAAAUGAUGAACUGAUCAAUGGAAGGUGAUUGAACUGUAUGAGCAGAUUUAUGAGAGUAAUUGUUGCAGAAUAAGAUGAAAACUAAAAGAUAAUAAAUCAUUUCUGAGUUUUUGUUGAUCAGCUCAGAUUUUUGUCUGUCAUCUAUUGUUGGAGAAUGUUUGAAAAUAAGCAGCAGCAUGGAGACCAAGGAGCCCA